GACCGCCUGGCCGAUGCGGUGGCCCGCGGACUUCGCGUGACCGCCGGAGGGUUCCGCUCCCGAGCGGCCC
rnacentral:tRNA from 2 species